GAGCAGCGUACGGCGGGGGGGGGGGGGAUCGAAAUGCAGUAAAGGAAAAAAAAGAAGACUUUAUGCAUGCUUGUAGAGGCUAUUAAACUGCUCGGGAAAGAGUCAGUGCAUUCCAUUUCCCUCGUGAUGAAGAUGCAUGGAGAGAAUGGAUAAGAGCAGUUCACCGUGAUAAUUUCAUCCCUUCAGAUCACUCUGUGAUUUGUGAGCUGCAUUUCCAUGCACACGAAAUAGAAAGAAGUACAUCGUCAUAUGAUGCUAAGACUGGAAGAUUAAUUACACGCCUCUUGAUCGUCCACGUUUAAGGAAAGACAUUCAGUUUUGGGUAACAGCAAAACAGAGCAAUGUGCUACAAUGCAGUUUUAGUAUAUGCUAAUUACAAGACAAUGUAACAGUUUCAGAUGCUUCUACUAUUUUAUCGAUUUUUAUGUGUUUGAUGUGUUACUGUUUCACAAUCAUUUAGAUAUUAUAUCAUCUAGAAUGAAAGAUUACUGUUCCUAACAUAAUAAUUAUUUUGUAAAUUGGAAUCUUGCCACAAAUGAGCAGAGAGUUGUGGUAUCAAUCUGCGUGAUACCCUUUCUAAUGUUUUCUCUUACACAUCAACACUUUCAAAUAUUAUUGUGUGUCACCAGGCUAUUCACGAAAUGGAGAACUGGUAAUGAGAAUAAAUAUAAAGGUAAAAAAUAAGGUUUCCUGAGCGUAAGCGAAUACUGAAGAUACAUAGUAAACUGUACUGCCUACACAGUUACCUGGUAAUCAGCAUCUUACUGCCACAUGUAUUCUGUGAAUAAAAAUAUAUUUUAUACAUCCAGGACUUGUAAUUUUGGACUAUAUGAUUUCUCACUCACACAGUUUCUUUUCUCGCACUGUAGAAGCUAAUUGUCUCCUCUAUCAUAUCAUAUGUCAUUUAUUGUUAAUCCUUGAAAAAUUGCACACAAACUGGAUGACUCUUUCUGUCAACCAGAGCACUUGCGUAAAAUAACAUGCGUAUGUGAUUAACAACACAGUGUGAAACAUCGGGUAGACAACACACAACGAAACACGUAAAGAUUAACCGAAACUUUAGAACCAGCUACAAUAAUGUAUGGGAAAAGUAAAAUUUCAUAUCUUCUGACCCAGUAAUUUUGAUGUGUUUCUUUGUACACAGUUCCAUAGUUUUUAACUAAUCCUGGUCGCGCCAGUGUCCUAUAUGUGGUCUCCUUUACAGAUGAACCAUACUUUCUUACUGAUUAAAAGAAAGCAUUUAAAUUACAAAUAUUUACACACAAUUCCGCAAAAUUAUAUAACGGUAUCAGGUGCCAUGCAUCCUGCAUUUUUGGUGUUACAACCGGAGUGCCUAAUAAGGAAAUCACCGCAUUAACAAUUAACGCAACUGCUGACAGUGGAUGCAGUACACUGAUCAGGAGAUUACUGCAGACUGAGAUGGUCACUCCUUUGGAACAAAAAGGUAGACACACCUGGAGCUGAGAACAAGGCUGGUCGUAUGUGGGUGCCAAGUUAUUUUGAGCUAG